AGUACGAGAGGACCGGAGUGGACGAACCGCUAGUGUACCUGUUGUGUGGUCGCAUGCAUCGCAGGGUAGCUAUGUUCGGAAGUGAUAAGCCGCUGAACGCAUCUAAGCGCGAAGCACGCUCCAAGAUAAGUAUUCCCUAUGAGCCUCCCGGAAGACGACCGGGUAGAUAGGCGGCAGGUGUACGCAUGGUAACAUGUUUAGCCGAGCCGUACUAAUCAGGCCAUUGGCUUUGUUUA
rnacentral:rRNA from 1 species